rnacentral:siRNA from 1 species
GCAGACAAUGUUUGAUGG